AUUGAACGCUGGCGGCAUGCCUUACACAUGCAAGUCGAACGGUAACGGGCGUUCGGGUGCCGACGAGCGGUGAACGGGGGAGGAAUACAACGGAAUGUGUCCGAUCGCGGGGGGAAACGAGGCGAAUGCUUUGAUAAUACCGAAUACGAUCUACGGAUUAAAGCAGGGGAGUGCAAGGGUUUGAGCGGACGGAGCGGUCGCUGGCAGAUGAGGUUGGUGGUGGGGUAAAAGCUUGUCAAGCCGACGAUCUGUAGCUGGUCCUAGAGGAUGAUCAGCCACACUGGAACUGAGACACGGCCCAGACUCCUACGGGAGGCAGCAGUAGGGAAUUUUGGACAAUGGGCGCAAGCCUGAUCCAGCCAUGCCGCGUGCAGGAUGAAGGCCUUCGGGUUGUAAACUUCUUUUAUACGGAACGAAAAGCCUUCUUUUAAUACAGGAGCGUCAUGACGGUACCGUAAGAGAAAGCACCGGCUAACUACGUG
rnacentral:rRNA from 1 species